GACGAACGCUGGCGGCGUGCCUAAUACAUGCAAGUCGAGCGGAUGGAAGGAAGCUUGCUUCCUAAAGUCAGCGGCGGACGGGUGAGUAACACGUGGGCAACCUGCCCCUAAGAUCGGGAUAACUUCGGGAAACCGGAGCUAAUACCGGAUAUGAUUAUGUCUCACAUGAGACAUAAUGGAAAGACGGUUUCGGCUGUCACUUAGGGAUGGGCCCGCGGCGCAUUAGCUAGUUGGUGAGGUAACGGCUCACCAAGGCGACGAUGCGUAGCCGACCUGAGAGGGUGAUCGGCCACACUGGGACUGAGACACGGCCCAGACUCCUACGGGAGGCAGCAGUAGGGAAUCUUCCGCAAUGGACGAAAGUCUGACGGAGCAACGCCGCGUGAGUGAAGAAGGUUUUCGGAUCGUAAAACUCUGUUGUUAGGGAAGAACAAGUACCAUAGUAACUGAUGGUACCUUGACGGUACCUAACUAGAAAGCCACGGCUAACUACGUGCCAGCAGCCGCAGUAACAC
rnacentral:rRNA from 1 species